rnacentral:rRNA from 1 species
AGUCAGAGGCGAUGAAGGACGUACUAACUUGCGAUAAGCGCAGAUAAGGCAGUAAGAGCCGUUUGAGUCUGCGAUUUCCGAAUGGGGAAACCCAACUGCAUAAGCAGUUACUGUUAACUGAAUACAUAGGUUAACAGAGCAAACCGGGGGAACUGAAACAUCUAAGUACCCCGAGGAGAAGAAAUCAACCGAGAUUCCGGUAGUAGCGGCGAGCGAACCUGGAUUAGCCCUUAAGCACUCGGUGAAGUAGGUGAACAAGCUGGAAAGCUUGGCGAUACAGGGUGAUAGCCCCGUAACCGACGAUUCAUCGAGCGUGAAAUCGAGUAGGGCGGGACACGUGAUAUCCUGUCUGAAUAUGGGGGGACCAUCCUCCAAGGCUAAAUACUCCUGACUGACCGAUAGUGAACCAGUACCGUGAGGGAAAGGCGAAAAGAACCCCUGUGAGGGGAGUGAAAUAGAACCUGAAACCGUGUACGUACAAGCAGUAGGAGCACCUUCGUGGUGUGACUGCGUACCUUUUGUAUAAUGGGUCAGCGACUUAUAUUCAGUGGCAAGGUUAACCGUAUAGGGGAGCCGUAGCGAAAGCGAGUCUUAACUGGGCGCUCAGUCUCUGGAUAUAGACCCGAAACCGGGUGAUCUAGCCAUGGGCAGGUUGAAGGUUGAGUAACAUCAACUGGAGGACCGAACCGACUAAUGUUGAAAAAUUAGCGGAUGACUUGUGGCUAGGGGUGAAAGGCCAAUCAAACUCGGAGAUAGCUGGUUCUCCCCGAAAGCUAUUUAGGUAGCGCCUCGGACGAAUACUACUGGGGGUAGAGCACUGUUAAGGCUAGGGGGUCAUCCCGACUUACCAACCCUUUGCAAACUCCGAAUACCAGUAAGUACUAUCCGGGAGACACACGGCGGGUGCUAACGUCCGUCGUGGAGAGGGAAACAACCCAGACCGCCAGCUAAGGUCCCAAAGUAUUGCUAAGUGGGAAACGAUGUGGGAAGGCUCAGACAGCUAGGAUGUUGGCUUAGAAGCAGCCAUCAUUUAAAGAAAGCGUAAUAGCUCACUAGUCGAGUCGGCCUGCGCGGAAGAUGUAACGGGGCUAAGCAAUACACCGAAGCUGCGGCAAUGUCUUUUAGACAUUGGGUAGGGGAGCGUUCUGUAAGCCGUUGAAGGUGAAUCGUAAGGUUUGCUGGAGGUAUCAGAAGUGCGAAUGCUGACAUGAGUAACGACAAAGGGGGUGAAAAACCUCCUCGCCGGAAGACCAAGGGUUCCUGUCCAACGUUAAUCGGGGCAGGGUGAGUCGACCCCUAAGGUGAGGCCGAAAGGCGUAAUCGAUGGGAAACGGGUUAAUAUUCCCGUACUUCUGACUAUUGCGAUGGGGGGACGGAGAAGGCUAGGUGGGCCAGGCGACGGUUGUCCUGGUUCAAGUGCGUAGGCUUGAGAGUUAGGUAAAUCCGGCUCUCUCUAAGGCUGAGACACGACGUCGAGCUGCUACGGCAGUGAAGUCAUUGAUGCCAUGCUUCCAGGAAAAGCCUCUAAGCUUCAGAUAGUCAGGAAUCGUACCCCAAACCGACACAGGUGGUCGGGUAGAGAAUACCAAGGCGCUUGAGAGAACUCGGGUGAAGGAACUAGGCAAAAUGGUACCGUAACUUCGGGAGAAGGUACGCUCUUGAUGGUGAAGUCCCUCGCGGAUGGAGCUGCCGAGAGUCGCAGAUACCAGGUGGCUGCAACUGUUUAUUAAAAACACAGCACUGUGCAAAAAUCGCAAGAUGACGUAUACGGUGUGACGCCUGCCCGGUGCCGGAAGGUUAAUUGAUGGGGUUAGCGCAAGCGAAGCUCUUGAUCGAAGCCCCGGUAAACGGCGGCCGUAACUAUAACGGUCCUAAGGUAGCGAAAUUCCUUGUCGGGUAAGUUCCGACCUGCACGAAUGGCGUAAUGAUGGCCACGCUGUCUCCACCCGAGACUCAGUGAAAUUGAAAUCGCUGUGAAGAUGCAGUGUACCCGCGGCUAGACGGAAAGACCCCGUGAACCUUUACUACAGCUUGGCACUGAACAUUGAACCUACAUGUGUAGGAUAGGUGGGAGGCUUUGAAGACGUGACGCCAGUUGCGUUGGAGCCGUCCUUGAAAUACCACCCUUGUAUGUUUGAUGUUCUAACUUAGACCCAUUAUCUGGGUUGAGGACAGUGCCUGGUGGGUAGUUUGACUGGGGCGGUCUCCUCCCAAAGAGUAACGGAGGAGCACGAAGGUGGGCUAAUCACGGUUGGACAUCGUGAGGUUAGUGCAAUGGCAUAAGCCCGCUUAACUGCGAGAAUGACGGUUCGAGCAGGUGCGAAAGCAGGUCAUAGUGAUCCGGUGGUUCUGUAUGGAAGGGCCAUCGCUCAACGGAUAAAAGGUACUCCGGGGAUAACAGGCUGAUACCGCCCAAGAGUUCAUAUCGACGGCGGUGUUUGGCACCUCGAUGUCGGCUCAUCACAUCCUGGGGCUGAAGUCGGUCCCAAGGGUAUGGCUGUUCGCCAUUUAAAGUGGUACGCGAGCUGGGUUUAGAACGUCGUGAGACAGUUCGGUCCCUAUCUGCCGUGGGCGUUGGAAGAUUGAAGGGGGCUGCUCCUAGUACGAGAGGACCGGAGUGGACGAACCUCUGGUGUUCGGGUUGUGUCGCCAGACGCAUUGCCCGGUAGCUAAGUUCGGAAUUGAUAAGCGCUGAAAGCAUCUAAGCGCGAAGCGAGCCCUGAGAUGAGUCUUCCCUGAUACUUUAAGUAUCCUAAAGGGUUGUUCGAGACUAGAACGUUGAUAGGCAGGGUGUGUAAGCGUUGUGAGGCGUUGAGCUAACCUGUACUAAUUGCCCGUGAGGCUUAACCA